UGAAAGUGUGCCUAGGGUUCCGCAGGCGAAGAAGGCCUGGUCUGGUCCGAGCGGCACAGGCGGCGAGCGAGGAAUUCCAAAGCGGCGCUGUUGCCGUUACACCGUGGGGAUAAAAGCCCGGGCGGG
rnacentral:sRNA from 2 species